AGCGAACGCUGGCGGCGUGCUUAACACAUGCAAGUCGAGUGCGCAGUUCCGCUGUAGCAAUACAGUGGGAUGGGCGCACGGCGCACGGGUGAGUAUCACGUGAACAACCUGCCCUUGGACGGGGAAUAACCCGCGAAAGCGGGCUAAUACCGCGUACGAUUCCGGGGUACGUUCGGUUCCUGGUCUGAUAGCUCGCAAGGGUGACGGA
rnacentral:rRNA from 1 species